ensembl:rRNA 5S_rRNA 5S ribosomal RNA
GUCUACAGCCAUACCACCCUGAAUGUGCCCGAUCUCGUCUGAUCUCCGAAGCUAAGCAGGGUCGGGCCUGGUUAGUACUUGGAUGGGAUACUGUAAGAUUAAGCAUGUGGGGCC